AAACAGCCCCCUAUGUUUUGAUUCUUUGGCAGUUUUGGACCCCAGUCCUUUAGUGAGGUGCCACGUAUAUUAUUUAGAGGGCCACGUGGCACCUCACUAAUGGACUGGGGGUCCAAAACUGCCAAAGAAUCAAAACAUAGGGGGCUGUUU
rnacentral:pre_miRNA from 1 species